rnacentral:rRNA from 1 species
UACGUAGGUGGCGAGCGUUGUCCGGAAUUACUGGGCGUAAAGGGCGCGUAGGCGGUUAAUUAAGUCAGGUGUGAAAACUGUGGGCUCAACCCAGAGACUGCAUCUGAUACUGGAUAACUUGAGUGCAGGAGAGGGCAGUGGAAUUCCUAGUGUAGCGGUGAAAUGCGUAGAUAUUAGGAGGAACACCAGUGGCGAAGGCGGCUGCCUGGACUGUAACUGACGCUGAGGCGCGAAAGCGUGGGGAGCGAACAGGAUUAGA